rnacentral:rRNA from 1 species
UACGUAGGGUGCAAGCGUUGUCCGGAAUUACUGGGCGUAAAGAGCUCGUAGGCGGUUUGUCGCGUCGUCCGUGAAAACUUGGGGCUCAACCCCAAGCUUGCGGGCGAUACGGGCAGACUUGAGUACUGCAGGGGAGACUGGAAUUCCUGGUGUAGCGGUGAAAUGCGCAGAUAUCAGGAGGAACACCGGUGGCGAAGGCGGGUCUCUGGGCAGUAACUGACGCUGAGGAGCGAAAGCGUGGGUAGCAAACAGG